rnacentral:misc_RNA from 1 species
GGGAACUACGUAAGAGUAAAAAUUAGAAAAACUUUAGUGCAUUAUUUUGAUAAAAUAAAAAGUAAGUUUUACUGAAACUUUAGGCAAUAAGAAAAUGUUCAUUUGGCUGAUAAUAGAGGGUUUCUUUGUUAUCAUUUUAUGUUUUUGAUUAUACAUUUAAACAGCUAAUGGAUGAUUGUCUUUUGCUGUAAAAUAAUAAAAGUAUGAAGGCAAAAAUUUAUACUUCUUUCUAUAAUAAAGGGUAGAAAU